AUGAAACCUUGAUAACGAAAUGGGAAUGAGGAAAGGAACCCUGCAAACAUGAGGCUUCUCAAAGGCACGCAUGCAAGGGCCACACAGUCACAAGUGUGAGGAGACAGAGAACCAUGAACAGCUGCUCUGCUGAGGGGAGACACCAUCUUCCUCAUUAAGCUACACAAACUGAAUCCCUCCAAGACCACCCAAGAUCAGCCCUGAAUUACAGACUGGCUGAAAGUCCAAAGCUGGAUAAUCCACCACACCAAGUUAUUUUUCAAAAUGGCAUAUUGGGGACCAAAUGACAAAGUAAAUGUAAGGACUCAAAACACUGGGUUAAAAAUUAUCUCCCCCACCACCAACUUCUGGAUGCUGUGAUGCAUACCUAGACACCACCAAAGAUGCUCUCGGAGGUGAAGAGUAUGCACCUGGCCUGUCA
rnacentral:lncRNA from 1 species